ACACAUACAUUAGGGCAAAUCAUUUCAGCCUCCCCACUCUGAACUUGCCCCAUCUCUCUCUCUCUCUCUCUCUCUGCAACUGCAAACUACAAAAUCUGCGAGAAUCAGAAGUUCAAAACCAUAUAAUUCAGUUUAUGUAUCUGUCUGCAAGAAUCAAAAUUUCGAAACCUAUUACCUACAUAAAAACCCAUAUCGGCAUAUCAUUUCAGAUUGUUCAAAAAAUCAAAACCCAUAUCCUUCAGUUUCCAUCGCCGGCCGCUGUUACAGUUCGGGUUUGCCUUUCGCAAGCUUCAGCCGCUGGCCCGCUGUGUCUCAACUCUCAAGCCCCUCUCUCUAUAACUGCUAACUGGAGGAAAUUCAUGAGUUGCUUCUGAGUUUUGCAGAAGCUGGAGCCACAGUUGUGAGACUUAAAGGAGGUGAUCCACUAGUGUUUGGGAGAGGUGGGGAGGAGAUAGAUUUCUUGCAACAACAAGGGAUUGAAGUGCAAGUCAUUCCAGGUAUCACUGCUGCUUCAGGAAUAGUAGCAGAACUGGGGAUCCCUUUUACCCACCAUGGUGUUGCAAAUAGUGUUAGAUUUCUCACGGGCCACUCAAGAAAUGGAGGAACAGACCCCCUGUUUAUUGCAGAAAAUGCAGUGGACCCUGAUUCAACUUUGGUUGUUUAUAUGGGUUUGUCAACUCUCCCUUCUCUUGCACAAAAGUUGAUACACCACGGUUUGCCACCCAAUACACCAGCUGCUACAGUUGAGUGAGGGACCACGCCUGAACAACGCAUUGUAAAAGCUAGGAUUGAGGGAUUACGGUUCCGGUUAGUUUUUUUAUUGCUGUUAUAUUUUUUGUAUGGCUCAUGAAGAAGUUUUUAUAUAUGGAAGAAAGAGACUAAAACAGAGCAAGAAGAUAUGAAGAAUUUUUGUUUUAUUUUGGUUGAGUAAAGAUAUAAAGUGUGGAUCAUGUACUUCUUUGAAAUUUGUAUAUAUUUUUGUAUAAAAACAUUAUUUGGAAUUGGUUAUAUAAAUAUGAUGUUAUUGGCCAGUUGUAAGUUA